rnacentral:rRNA from 1 species
CCUGCCUUCAAGAGGGGGAUAACAUUCUGAAAAGAAUGCUAAUACCGCAUGACAUAUCGGAACCACAUGGUUCUGAUAUCAAAGAUUUUAUCGCUUGAAGAUGGACUCGCGUCCGAUUAGUUAGUUGGUGAGGUAACGGCUCACCAAGACCGCGAUCGGUAGCCGGACUGAGAGGUUGAACGGCCACAUUGGGACUGAGACACGGCCCAGACUCCUACGGGAGGCAGCAGUGGGGGAUAUUGCGCAAUGGGGGCAACCCUGACGCAGCAACGCCGCGUGAAGGAUGAAGGUUUUCGGAUUGUAAACUUCUUUUAUUAAGGACGAAAAAUGACGGUACUUAAUGAAUAAGCUCCGGCUAACUACGUGCCAGCAGCCGCGGUAAUACGUAGGGAGCAAGCGUUGUCCGGAUUUACUGGGUGUAAAGGGUGCGUAGGCGGCUUUGCAAGUCAGAUGUGAAAUCUAUGGGCUCAACCCAUAAACUGCAUUUGAAACUGUAGAGCUUGAGUGAAGUAGAGGCAGGCGGAGUUCCCCGUGUAGCGGUGAAAUGCGUAGAGAUGGGGAGGAACACCAGUGGCGAAGGCGGCCUGCUGGGCUUUAACUGACGCUGAGGCACGAAAGCGUGGGUAGCAAACAGGAUUAGAUACCCUGGUAGUCCACGCUGUAAACGAUGAUUACUAGGUGUGGGGGGUCUGACCCCUUCCGUGCCGGAG